GUUAAGUCCCGCAACGAGCGCAACCCUUACGGUUAGUUGAUACGCAAGAUCACUCUAGCCGGACUGCCGUUGACAAAACGGAGGAAGGUGGGGACGACGUCAAAUCAUCAUGCCCCUUAUGACCUGGGCUACACACGUACUACAAUGGCAGUCAUACAGAGGGAAGCAAAACCGCGAGGUGGAGCAAAUCCCUAAAAGCUGUCCCAGUUCAGAUUGCAGGCUGCAACCCGCCUGCAUGAAGUCGGAAUUGCUAGUAAUCGCGGAUCAGCAUGCCGCGGUGAAUACGUUCCCGGGCCUUGUACACACCGCCCGUCACACCAUGAGAGCCGUCAAUACCCGAAGUCCGUAGCCUAACCGUAAGGAGGGCGCGGCCGAAGGUAGGGGUGGUAAUUAGGGUGAAGUCGUAACAAGGUAGCCGUAUCGGAAGGUGCGGC
rnacentral:rRNA from 1 species